CCUACGGGAGGCAGCAGUAGGGAAUUUUUCACAAUGGGCGAAAGCCUGAUGCAGCGAUGCCGCGUGAAGGAUGACGGUCUUCUAGAUUGUAAAAUUCUUUUAUUUGGGAGGAAAAACUGAAGUAGGAACUGACUUUAGUCUGCCUGUACCAUUUGAGUAAGUAGCGGCUAACUAUGUUCCAGCAGCCGCGGUAAUACAUAGGAUGCAAGUGUUAUCCCGAUUUACUGGGAGAAAAACGAGCGCAGGGGGGUUAAGAAGUUGUGGAUGAAAGGCUUUUGCUUACCGAAAGUUUGUAGCAAAAACUGGCAAACUAGAGUGCAGUAGAGAGUACUGGAAUUCCAGGUGUAGCGGUGGAAUGCGUAGAUAUAUGGAAGAACACCAGUGGCGAAGGCGAGAACUUAGGCUAUAACUGACGCUUAGGAUCGAAAGUGUGGGGAGCGAAUAGGAUUAGAUACCCGUGUAGUC
rnacentral:rRNA from 1 species